rnacentral:rRNA from 1 species
UACGUAGGGUGCAAGCGUUAAUCGGAAUUACUGGGCGUAAAGCGUGCGCAGGCGGUUCGCUAAGACAGAUGUGAAAAUCCCCCGGGCUUAACCUGGGAACUGCAUUUUGUGACUGGCGGGCUAGAGUAUGGCAGAGGGGGGGUAGAAUUCCACGUGUAGCAGUGAAAAUGCGUAGAGAUGUGGAGGAAUACCGAUGGCGAAGGCAGCCCCCCUGGGCCAAUACUGACGCUCAUGCACGAAAAGCGUGGGGGAGCAAAACAGG